rnacentral:rRNA from 1 species
UACGUAGGUGGCAAGCGUUGUCCGGAUUUACUGGGCGUAAAGAGCGCGCAGGCGGUCGUUCAAGUCGCGUGUGAAAGCCCCCGGCUCAACUGGGGAGGGUCACGCGAUACUGAUCGACUCGAAGGCAGGAGAGGGUAGUGGAAUUCCCGGUGUAGCGGUGAAAUGCGCAGAUAUCGGGAAGAACACCCGUGGCGAAGGCGGCUCUCUGGGACGGUACUGACGCUGAGACGCGAAAGCGUGGGGAGCGAACAGG